rnacentral:rRNA from 1 species
GGAUUGCACAGACAACCAGGAUGUUGGCUUAGAAGCAGCCACUCAUUCAAAGAGUGCGUAAUAGCUCACUGGUCGAGUGAUCCUGCGCCGAAGAUUUCCGGGGCUAAAACUUACUACCGAAGCUACGGCAUCAGUAAUGAUGGGUAGGGGAGCUUCCCAUACGGGUUGAAGCAUGACCGUAAGGACAUGUGGACAGUAUGGGAGUGAGAAUGUUGGCAUGAGUAGCGAGAUGUGGGUGAGAAUCCCACAGGCCGUAAACCCAAGGUUUCCAGGGGAAGGUUCGUCCGCCCUGGGUUAGUCGGGACCUAAGCUGAGGCCGAAAGGCGUAGGUGAUGGACAACAGGUUGAUAUUCCUGUACUACCGAUAACCGUUUGAGAGAAGGGAUGACACAGUAGGAUAAGCUAAGCACACUGUUGGUUAUGUGUGCCCAAGCAUUGAGGCAGUCAAAGUAGGCAAAUCCGCUUUGAUAAUGCUGGGAUGUGAUGGGGAGCGAAAUUUAGUAGCGAAGUAGCUGAUUUCACACUGUCAAGAAAAGUCUCUAUCGAGGUUAAAGGUACCCGUACCGCAAACCGACACAGGUGGGUGAGGAGAGUAUCCUAAGGCCAGCGAGAGAACUGUUGUUAAGGAACUCGGCAAAAUGACCCCGUAACUUAGGGAUAAGGGGUGCCACCAUCAGGUGGCCGCAGAGAAUAGGCCCAAGCGACUGUUUACCAAAAACAUAGGUUUCUGCUAAGUCGCAAGACGAUGUAUAGGAGCUGACGCCUGCCCGGUGCUGGAAGGUUAAGGGGAUCUGUUAGAGCAAUCGAAGCAGUGAACUUAAGCCCCAGUAAACGGCGGCCGUAACUAUAACGGUCCUAAGGUAGCGAAAUUCCUUGUCGGGUAAGUUCCGACCCGCACGAAAGGCGUAACGAUUUGGGCACUGUCUCAACAACAGACUCGGUGAAAUUGUAAUUCCGGUGAAGAUGCCGGAUACCUGCGACAGGACGGAAAGACCCCAUGGAGCUUUACUGUAGCUUGACAUUGGGUCUUGGUACUACAUGUACAGGAUAGGUGGGAGGCUUUGAAACCAGGACGCCAGUUUUGGCGGAGCCAUCCUUGGGAUACCACCCUUGUAGUACUGGGACUCUAACCAUAGGCCAUGAAUCUGGUCUUGGGACACUGUCAGGUGGGCAGUUUGACUGGGGCGGUCGCCUCCCAAAAGG